rnacentral:lncRNA from 1 species
UAAUUUCCCUUACUUUUUUUUAUCUAUCGAGUUUUCCUGCUUAAUCUUUAGAUUUUGGGGAAUUUUCCAGCUUUUCUCUUGUUGCUGAUUUCUAAUUUCAUGUGAUUGUGUUUGGAAAAGAUACUUGUUAUGACCUCAGUCGUCUUAUAUUUGCUGACUUGUUUUGUCACCUAUCAUGUGAUCUAUUCUUAAGAAAGUUCCAUUUGAGCUUGAGAAGAAUCUGUGUUCUUUCAUUGUUAGAUCAAUAUUCUGUAUUUUGUCUAAAGUUUGGUUCAAGUCUAACAUUUCCUUUUUUUCCUAUCUUGAUAAUGUCCUCAUUGUUGAAAAUUGAGCAUUGAAGUCCCCUAUUAGUUAAUGUCUCUUUCUCCCUUCAGAUGUGUUAGAUUUUGCUUAAUAUAUUUAAGGUGCUCCAAUGUUGAAUGCAUGCAUAGUCAUGAUUGUUUUAUCUUAAUAAACUGAAACUCUUAUCAUCAUAAUGUCCAUUUUUUUCUCUUGUUAUUGUUAUUGGCUUAACUCUACUUUUUCCUGAUAAAAAUAUAGCUACCCUUACUCUCUUUUGGUUUCCACUUGUGUGGUGAGUCUUUUGUACAUAGCAUAUAGUUGGGUCUUUUUUUUUUUUUUUUUUAUCCAUAUAGCCACUCUAUGCUUUUUCACUGAAGAAUUUAAUCCAUUAAUAUUUAGAGUAAUUAUUGAUAGGUAAAGUUUGAAGUUCCACUUUUAUUUAUUUAUUUUUUUUGCUGCCUUUAUUUUUAAGUUGAUGAUUUUCUGUAGUGGAAUGCUUUAAUUCCCUUCUCUUUUAUCUUGUGUAUCUUAUUGCAGAUUUUAUAUUUCCCAUGGAGUUUGCAUAAAACAGCCUGUAUAUCCAGCAGUCUAAACUAUACUGAUAACAAUAUAACUUUGAUUGCAUACAAAACCUGUAUUUUUACUUCCCACUUUUAUGUUUCUGAUGUCAUCAUUUACCAUCUUUUUUUUUUUUUUCUUCAUUGUGUAUCCAUUAGCAAAUUGUUGAAGCUAGAGCUACUUUAAUGCUUUUGUGCUUUAUCCUUUAUUCUGGAGUUAAGUAGUUAACACAUCACCAUAGUAUAGUAUUAAAGGGUUCUGAAUUUGACUGUAUGCUAACCUUUUA